CCCUGGGUCUCUCAUAGUGCCCCAUGCCAGAGCAAACUGUGACCAUGAACCAUAGCCUGCAGGCACUGAAGCAGGUUACACAGUG
rnacentral:snoRNA from 1 species